UGUGUACUCCCUCCGUUCAAAAAUACUUGACUUCCAUUUUUCCAAAAAUGGAUGUACCUAUAUACUAAAACAUGUCUAGAUACAUAUAUAUUUUGACAAAUAGAAGGCAUGUAUUGUGCAACGGAGGGAGUAGAAU
rnacentral:pre_miRNA from 1 species